GACGAACGCUGGCGGCGUGCUUAACACAUGCAAGUCGAACGGUGAAGCGCCUUCCUUUUUGGUGGGUGUGGAUGAGUGGCGAACGGGUGAGUAACACGUGAGUAACCUGCCCCCUUCUUCUGGAUAACCGCAUGAAAGUGUGGCUAAUACGGGAUAUUCUGGGUCUGUCGCAUGAUGGGUCUGGGAAAGAUAUUGUUUCGGUGGGGGAUGGGCUCGCGGCCUAUCAGCUUGUUGGUGGGGUGAUGGCCUACCAAGGCGGUGACGGGUAGCCGGCCUGAGAGGGUGGACGGUCGCACUGGGACUGAGACACGGCCCAGACUCCUACGGGAGGCAGCAGUGGGGAAUAUUGCACAAUGGGCGCAAGCCUGAUGCAGCGACGCCGCGUGAGGGAUGGAGGCCUUCGGGUUGUGAACCUCUUUCGCCAGUGAAGCAGGACUGCCUCGUUUGUGGGUGGGUUGACGGUAGCUGGAUAAGAAGCGCCGGCUAACUACGUG
rnacentral:rRNA from 1 species